rnacentral:rRNA from 1 species
UACGUAGGUGGCGAGCGUUAUCCGGAUUUAUUGGGCGUAAAGCGUGCGCAGGCGGCUUGUUAAGUCUAAAAUAAAAGCCCGGAGCUUAACUCCGGUUCGUUUUAGAAACUGGCAAGCUCGAGUGUGGUAGAGGCAAACGGAAUUUCUAGUGUAGCGGUAAAAUGCGUAGAUAUUAGAAGGAACACCAGUGGCGAAGGCGGUUUGCUGGGCCAUUACUGACGCUCAUGCACGAAAGCGUGGGGAGCAAAUAGG